rnacentral:rRNA from 1 species
GAGACCUCACGUCAAGCGGGGCUACCCGCUGAGUUUAAGCAUAUCAAUAAGCGGACGAAAAG